rnacentral:lncRNA from 1 species
AUGAACGCGCUCAUUUUCCACCUCAAAACAACCCUUUUUGCAACGUUCCUAACAUACAACCGCGGCAAGAGCCCAAAUCUCGAACGGCACAGCUUUCCCGUAGGAUUGGUCCAUGCUAUGGUGCGCGCCCCACUCUGCGAGGUCUCCUCGCCAGCCUGCGCCCUCACGGCAGGUUUCUCAGAGCGCCUGGAGUCUGAGAGCAAACGCCGGGGCAUUUGCUCCGCCGGCCGACGCGGCUACGCGGCCGGGCAGGGCAUCUGGCCUCCCUGUGCCACCGGGGACUUACUCACUUGCUCCAGGCGCAGCUCCUCGCCCAACAGCAGCCCAAGUUUGGCGGCAGCUCGUUCCGCCGGGCUCUGGGGCCAGGGCUGCUGUGCCCUCGCCGCUAAGGCAGCCCCGGGCGGCGGCUCCCCCUGGUCGCUCGCAGCCCGGGCCGGGGUCCCGCCGCAGCCGGGCUGGGCACCAGCGGGAAAAGUCCUUCCCGCCGCUGCGGGUGACGUCUCGCUGCCUUGGAAAGUUGGUGGCGCGGAAAGGGUUAAGAGAGAGCCCCAUCCCGCCGCCCCCGCCGAUCUGCGCCGCUCCCCCCCACCCCCGGCGCCCCUUACCUGGCGGAACGCGCCGGCGGGCUGCCCCCCGCAUCCCCGGCCGCGGAUCCUGGGGCGGGGGACGCCCAGCCCGGCCCGGCCCGGGGGCGGCAGCCGGCGGAGCUCAGCGGGCGGCGCUGCGGGGGCUCAUCCCUGCCCGCGCUGCCGCCCUGCCCUGCCCUGCCCUGCCCGUGCGGGCACCCGCCGAGCGGGGCCGCCUCUCCACGCCCUCCGCGCCGGGCGAGGGGCGGGCGGCGAGGGGGCUGCGCCGCUUCCCUCCCUCCCUCCUUCCCUCCCUUCCUCCCUGCGCCCGGCAGCGCGCACGGGCGCACGCAGCACAGCGCCAGGCACCGGCAUCGGCUCCGGCACAGCCUCCGCCCCGCGCCGCCCGCUCGCCGAGCAGGAAACUCCUCUUAUUUAG